rnacentral:snRNA from 1 species
GGAUGUGAGGGCGAUCUGGCUGCGACAUCUGUCACCCCUUUGAUCGCCAGGGUUGAUUCGGCUGAUCUGGCUGGCUAGGCGGGUGUCCCCUCCCUCCCUCACCGCUCCAUGUGCGUCCCUCCAGAAGCUGCGCGCUCGGUCGAAGAGGACAACCUUCCCCGCUAGAGAACCGGUCUUUGGUCAAGGGUAUACGAGUAGCUGCGCUCCCCUGCUAUAACCUCCAAACAAGCUCUCAAAGAGGGGAGUUGCAAGGGGAGGUUAUGGGU